rnacentral:rRNA from 1 species
AGUGAACGCUGGCGGUAGGCCUAACACAUGCAAGUCGAACGGCAGCACAGUAAGAGCUUGCUCUUACGGGUGGCGAGUGGCGGACGGGUGAGGAAUACAUCGGAAUCUACUUUUUCGUGGGGGAUAACGUAGGGACACUUACGCUAAUACCGCAUACGACCUACGGGUGAAAGCAGGGGAUCUUCGGACCUUGCGCGAUUGAAUGAGCCGAUGUCGGAUUAGCUAGUUGGCGGGGUAAAGGCCCACCAAGGCGACGAUCCGUAGCUGGUCGGAGAGGAUGAUCAGCCCCACUAGAACUGAGACACGGUCCAGACUCCUACGGGAGGCAGCAGUGGGGAAUAUUGGACAAUGGGAGCAAGGCUGAUCCAGCCAUACCGCGUGGGUGAAGAAGGCCUUCGGGUUGUAAAGCCAUUUUGUUGGGAAAGAAAAGCAGCAGGUUAAUACCCCGCUGUUCUGACGGUACCCAAAGAAUAAGCACCGGCUAACUUCGUG